rnacentral:rRNA from 1 species
AUGACGGAGGAACGCAUUUCCAGGGCCUCCGACGAGCCCACAACCGCGACCAAGCAGAGGAAGAAGAGGAAGUGGGAUCAGCCCGCAGAGGACUUGGUCGCCGCGGCUGCUGCUGCUGCUGCGGCGGCGGGUUUGCCCGUGUUGAACGUCGGAGCUCUGUCCGGCGUUCAAUACCCUGGCACUACUGCAUAUCCUGCGGCCCCAUAUGUUUUGCCACCGCAGCUCGCGCCAUCUGUGCUUCAGAGUGCUGCUGCUGCGNNNNNNNNNNNNNNUCAGGUAAAACUACCGGAUGAGCUUAUAGCACGAGAAGUUGUUAUAAAUGACGCUGAUCCAUCUGUGCGAUAUAAGCUCACGAAGCGGCAAACACAGGACGAGAUUCAACAAUGCACAUGCACUGUCAUCAUUACAAGGGGAAAAUACCAUCCUCCUAAUGGACAGCCUGAUGGUGAGAAGCCACUCUAUCUACAUAUCUCUGCAGGAUCUCAGCUAAAAGAUACCGCUGAGCGCAUUAAAGCAGUUGAUCUUGCAGCGUCAAUGAUCGAGGACAUCUUGAAACAUGGCCAAAUGCCAGAAGCCACAUCAGCCAAUUUCCCUUCUAUCCAGAGCAGCAGACAGGCUGUUCCUUUUAGCGCCUCAAUCUUUUUGGGUUUUGACGCAGAUCCAUCAUUGAAUGUUGCAGCUCGCAUCCGUGGACCAAAUGAUCAGUACAUAAAUCACAUUAUGAAUGAAACAGGGGUCACUGUUGUACUAAGAGGAAAAGAUUCAGGGAAUCUUGGCAACUGUCACGCUGAAGCAUCACAGCAACCUCUGCACAUGCACCUAUCAGGUGUGCAUUUGAAGAGCCUAGAAGCUGCAAAGGUUUUAGCAGAAAACCUUCUAGAUACAAUAGCAGCGGAACUUGGUGCUUCCAGAAUUUCUUCUUCAAAAGUAUAUGGUGCUGUUCCACCUCCUCAGCAACUGUUGACUGGUGUGCACACCUCGGGAACAUCUGACAUAUGUGUGUCAACUGGAGCAUCACAUUCCUUUGCCCCUACUGGAGUUACUUCUCCCAUAGCCGCCCCUUCAGUGACACUUCAAUCUGGGGCGCCAACUUAUUCUGGGAUUCUCCCACCCAGUAACCUGAUCUAUCCUAGUCAAGCAGCAAAUCGUGGGGCUUUUUACAAUGGCUAUGGAGACAUCUAUCCCCAGGCAACUCCAUUGCAGCAGGUGGCAUUAACACUCAAGCAUGCUUCAUCUUCGACAACGCAGGUUAUUCCAGUGGCAUCCACAUCAGCAAGCAUGGCAACAAGUGUGAACACCAGUGCAAAGUUGGAGGCAGAUAAACGCUCACAGAGGAGGAAAUUCCAGGAACUGCCAACAGCAGACCUUCAGACAGGUUUAGAUGAUCUAGGUAAAAUGAACAGUUCAUCGGUUGCAGCUACAAUGAAAGUUCAGCCUGGAUCAAGUAGGAUACUUCCACAAGAUCCACAUCCAUCUCAUCCAUCUGUAUACACUAGCAUGCCGCCGCCACCACCACCACCCAAGAACAUGUCACUGCCAUAUCUCAAUAGCAUGCCACCCCCACCGCCCAGGAGCAUGCCUCCGCCACCACCUAAGUUCCCUUCAAAUCAAGUGUUAAGAAAUGAGAACAGGCAUUCAGCUCUAAAGGAGCUGCUGGCGCCUCCGAGAUCAUUGGACGCGAGUUCUGCUGCACCGCCUCCGAAGGAGCCUAAAGAGGAAAAGCCAAGCAGUACAUCUGUUUCCGACACUCUGCUGAAGCUUAUGGACUAUGGGGAUGAUGAUGAUGACGACGACGACUAG